AUGGAGAUGAGAUGACUAGAGCCUUCUCUCACAAAGACUGAUUCAAAUUCUGGCCUUUGAAGCUAGAAAUCUGUUAAAGUAAGAUCUGACACCUUGACUACAGGUAUAAAAGAGUACUUGAUCUUAUGAAUGCAUUCACUCAGAGUAUUCCCAGGUUCCUCAGAACAGUCUUUUGUGUCCUCAAGUAAUAUCACCCUGAACAAUUGAAUUCUAUCAAGAACUGAAGAAGAACCUAAGAGGAACUUUUUGGGGAAAGACUUCCUGUGAUGAAUUCAGAACAGGACCUCUGAAGCUCACAUACUUCAUGCACAGGCUUCAUAGUUCUUGUUUCUUUCUGGCUACAGAGGAGGAGAACUGGUGCAAGAUUUGUCCCAUCAUACAGAGAAGUUCUGGACCCUUUCUCUUGCCAAGUAAUUACAGAAAGGCCUCACAUCUUGGAUCUACCAGGAAGCUUUAUGGAUUAAAGGAAUAGCCGAGGGGACUCUGCAUUAGUGCUGAUGGAGGCAAUAAAUGUCUGCUUUGUCCUGCUUAUGUUUGUGGUGAUGACUCUCCUACAAAGAAGAACUCUAUGGAAGCAAUGUGCACUCAUCCAAGGACAGAAUUUGGCCUAAAUGUUUUAAAAGAAAUUGAUUUCCAUAACAGCCAAAUGUCGACAGAAAUUCCUACGCGUAUCUAUGGAAAAGACAAGAGGACUUCUGUAGAAGAUUAAGGUUUGGAUUUUCAGCUUUAGCUGAAUUGUGCUUGGUGCAGGCCCAAGGCUGGGGAGCAAAGGUGGCUUUUCAGCACCUCUGGAAACCAGACCACUUUUAUUUAGGGGUCCAAAUAUAGAUAAGAUACCCAGGUUUGAAAAUGUUGGCUGUGACAGAUACUUCUGUAUUAUACUCCUUAAUGUAUUUUUAGUCAGUUGUCAUCUAUCUAUUCCCCCCCCACACACACAAUGUAUCACAUGUGUAACUGUCCUCUGAAUUCUUUUCAUCAGAGACCCUAAAGUAGACACUUAUGGCUCUGCAGAUGUUGCUACCGUCAGAACUGUUUUAGUUUCUGUUCUUCAGAAAUAAUCCCACCUUAAUGAACUGAAAGAAUUCUACACGGAGCUCGUCUAGUUGAAUAUGAAAGAGGUCAUUGCUAACUGUAGUUUAAUUUCUCAGAAAUUACGCACACACAUUCCUCACAAAUCAAGGGCCAAAUCCUGAUCCACUGACGUCAUUGACUAAACUCUCAUUCACUUUGAUAGGACCAGAAUGUGGCCCAAAAGAAUAAAUCACUAAGGAUCUGAUUUUAGAGGUUUUGAGCAACCCCUUUACAUUCAGAUGGAGAUGUGAGUGCUCAGCACCUCUGCAACUCAAGAAAAAUGUUCAUACAUGGAUGAAUGAAGCUUGUGUUUUAAAAAAGACAUAUUUUUACAUUCUGUGACUGGGUUUUGGUCAUUCGUUACAAACUCUCCAAGCUAGAUGGGUUGUAUUCUUAAGCUUUUGAAAUGCCAGAAGACCCCAAGGAUGUCUGCAAAAAGUGUGUAACUGCAAGCUAAGAUCUGUGGAUGCAAUUACCACAGUAGUGUGUGCAAACCGUAUAACUGUAUGUGCACAGCUGCACAUAUCACUGCUCUUCUGAUGUCUUCAGAAUCAGGCUCUUAAUGUGCAUAUUGCAAGUAUUGAAAAGAUGUGCCAGAUGACAAAAUGAAAGGAUUUAAUAAUGAUGUAGACAGAAAUAUAUAUUUAUUGGCCUAUCCUUUACCCAGACCUGACUAUUAUUUAAAUGGACAGUCUAUUUCUUUUGUUAGAGAGAUGGCAAUUCCCAUAGUACCAAGUACUGUCAUUUAAAAUACAGUUUUGAUUAAUGUCACUCUGAAGCUAGUUCAGUUUCUUCGAAGGAGGAAAUACAAAUCCACAGGGGAAGUAGCAGACAACAUAUGUAAACUCUUUUGCGUAUGGAAAAUGAUGAAGCAGCCCAGAACAUCAUUAUUCCUUGCUACUUCCUGUAAUCCGUUCCCCAAAUCCCCCAAACCAACAGCCCACUGAAUUUAUGAUUUACAGAAAGGUCCAUGGGUUUUUUAGACCAUUCGGCCAACUCCAUGAGGAAGUGAGGGAUUACAGCUAACUACACAAGAGGUCAGCCAAGGUUCAUUUCUUGCCUUAGCCGCAAGCCCAUGGUGACAUUUCCCAGAUAUUUAUGGAGAAUUCCUCUCAGGAGAUACGCAUUUUGUAGACAUAGGCUGAAUUUUCCAAUGUGAGUAUUUCAGACACCAUGUGUAGCUCUGCAAGAAGGAGAUCACGCAGAACACCCUUGCUUUUUAAGAGGACAUUCAAAACAUAAAGGACUAGACCAUGCCCAGCCGCAGAGCAGGUGCUGGGAGAGGGCUCAGGGAUGCUCUCCAUCCCUUUUCACAGACUGAGCACAAUUGUACUCACCUUGCACUAGACAGCUCCCCAAAAAUGGCAAGGAGAGGAAAAAAGGAGGUGGGAUCAUAGCUCCAGCCCCUCUUCACUAGGAAACAGUGAAGUUAGCCGUCUGUGGACAAGAGCACAGGCCACACCAUAUAAGGGGUAGCAACAAUGGUCAGGAAGCACCAUGCCCCCUGGUUGUUCUCCCUACUAGCUGGUGCCUGUAAGGUACAUUCCAGCCUAAAACAUUAUA